CAGGCUCAGAAGCCGGCCCCGGGUAGGAGGGGCGAGGGAGCGAUCCGGGCGCCGCCCCGCCCCUCGCAUGCGCCUCUUGUUUUAAAAAAAAAAAAAAAAAAAAAAGGGCGCGGCCGUGUCUUGCGCAGGCGCAGUGCUGCGUGAGCCUUAGCCGCGCAAGCUGGGUGAAGGGAGAAUGGUUCCCACCAAGAGUGACAAAACCUUGCUAGUGUGGGAACUGAGCUCUGGACCCACGGCUGAGGCUUUGCAUAGAUAAGGUCUCGCUAUGUUGCUCAUGCUGGUUUCGAACUCCUGGCCUCAAGCCAUCCUCCCGUCUUGGCCUCCCAGAGAGCAGGAUUACAGGCUGUUUCUCUUGGAGGUGGUGCAGGAGGUUAAAGAAAGCACCUCUGAUGAGCAGAUAGCUGGAGGCUGUUCCCAAGAUCAUGUCUCAGUGAAGAAGUUGGAGUCCAGCAGCCAUCAGAACCAAGCCAGAAGGAACCUGGAUGAGAUUCUAAAAAGAAGAUGCCCGGAACCACCCUCCUUACUCCCAGAAUGACUGCCUUCCUCAAAAGCCAGAGGACCAGAGGCUCAGCAGGAGUUGCAGCCGAUACUUAUGCUUCUCACCUCCUGUGCACAGCCAUAGUCCAUCCAUUCCUGGCGAUAGCGGUCAAAGCCACUGGAGCAUCUGCAGGAGGACCAAAAGGUCAGAGGGGAACCCUCCAAGUCCUACUGAAGCCCAGGGACAUCUGUAUAGGAAGAAUAACAUCAUGAACCACCAGUGCCGAGAAGGAACUCUCAGCAGGUUAACUGCACCAGCACCCACUGAAGUUCGGUGAGGCCAAGGGCCAAGGCUUGCCAAGAGCUGUCAGUCUUUCCUUCUACAGAUGCCUCUGGGCUCUGAGCUGCUCCUCCUGCAGCAGGGAUGGCUGAACUGAGCCAGCCACACUCUCCUUCUGUCAGGCCCUCUAUGCCCACUACUUUGGGGGAUGGAGGAUUAGGAAAGCUAUUGGAGGCUGAGAACUAAAGUUUCUUUUAGGGCUGGGUGUGGUGGCUCAUGCCUGUAAUCCCAGCAUUUUGAGAGGCUGAGGCAGGAGGAUUGCUGGAGCCCAGGAAUUUAAGGCUAUAGUGAGCUAUGAUGGCACCACUGCACUCCAGCCUGGGUGACAGAGCAAGACCCUGUCUCUUAAAAACAAAAACAAACAAACAAACAAAAAGAAAGUUCUUUUAGACCAUGCUAACUGAUUCUUUAAAAGGUUGAGCCUUUGGUAUGGGUUUAUGACCCCCGUUUCUGGAGCUAAUCCGGGAAUUAACGUUACCCUUAGACUCCAGACUGGGCCAUGGCGGGGGGGCGGGGGCACCUGCCAUGAGAGAUGAAAUUGUUUAAAUCCAUUCCAGCCAAGAGCAAGGAGGAAAGCUCUGGGAGGCUGUGAAAGGCAGACUGGGUGGAGGGAGGGGAGCAGAGAACCAUGCGGGGACUGACUGCAGCUGUUGCCAGACAGACCAUGUCAGCUGGCCCUGCCCUCUGGGUUUUUGGGGACCUGGGUUCAGCUCUCAGUUGCAGCUGAGGCUUCAGAGAGCUUGUAAGAAAGGACAGUGUGCAGGAGUGAGCCCAGGCCCAUGGGGCGCCUGGGGAUGGGAUGGUUUCCAACUCGCACCAGCCGUGCUCCCCCGGGUGGAGUUUCUCUGUGCUCCUCUCUGCUGACACAACCCCUGCAGAUGCACACAAACAGAGGCCUUGCCCUUCCCCCAGCCUGACCAACCUCCUAAUGUUGAGGAGGGCCCAACCCUCAUUAAACUCAUGGUCUCUGAA